AACGCUAGCUACAGGCUUAACACAUGCAAGUCCACUUUCAGCAGGAAGAAAGCUUGCUUUCUUUGCUGGCGACCGGCGCACGGGUGAGUAACACGUAUCCAACCUGCCCUUUACUCGGGGAUAGCCUUUCGAAAGAAAGAUUAAUACCCGAUGGCAUAAUGAUUCCGCAUGGUUUCAUUAUUAAAGGAUUCCGGUAAAGGAUGGGGAUGCGUUCCAUUAGGUUGUUGGUGAGGUAACGGCUCACCAAGCCUUCGAUGGAUAGGGGUUCUGAGAGGAAGGUCCCCCACAUUGGAACUGAGACACGGUCCAAACUCCUACGGGAGGCAGCAGUGAGGAAUAUUGGUCAAUGGGCGCUAGCCUGAACCAGCCAAGUAGCGUGAAGGAUGAAGGCUCUAUGGGUCGUAAACUUCUUUUAUAUAAGAAUAAAGUGCAGUAUGUAUACUGUUUUGUAUGUAUUAUAUGAAUAAGGAUCGGCUAACUCCGUGCCAGCAGCCGCGGUAAUACGGAGGAUCCGAGCGUUAUCCGGAUUUAUUGGGUUUAAAGGGAGCGUAGGUGGACUGGUAAGUCAGUUGUGAAAGUUUGCGGCUCAACCGUAAAAUUGCAGUUGAUACUGUCAGUCUUGAGUACAGUAGAGGUGGGCGGAAUUCGUGGUGUAGCGGUGAAAUGCUUAGAUAUCACGAAGAACUCCGAUUGCGAAGGCAGCUCACUGGACUGCAACUGACACUGAUGCUCGAAAGUGUGGGUAUCAAACAGGAUUAGAUACCCUGGUAGUCCACACAGUAAACGAUGAAUACUCGCUGUUUGCGAUAUACAGUAAGCGGCCAAGCGAAAGCAUUAAGUAUUCCACCUGGGGAGUACGCCGGCAACGGUGAAACUCAAAGGAAUUGACGGGGGCCCGCACAAGCGGAGGAACAUGUGGUUUAAUUCGAUGAUACGCGAGGAACCUUACCCGGGCUUAAAUUGCAGUGGAAUGAUGUGGAAACAUGUCAGUGAGCAAUCACCGCUGUGAAGGUGCUGCAUGGUUGUCGUCAGCUCGUGCCGUGAGGUGUCGGCUUAAGUGCCAUAACGAGCGCAACCCUUAUCUUCAGUUACUAACAGGUCAUGCUGAGGACUCUGGAGAGACUGCCGUCGUAAGAUGUGAGGAAGGUGGGGAUGACGUCAAAUCAGCACGGCCCUUACGUCCGGGGCUACACACGUGUUACAAUGGGGGGUACAGAAGGCAGCUAGCGGGUGACCGUAUGCUAAUCCCAAAAGCCUCUCUCAGUUCGGAUCGAAGUCUGCAACCCGACUUCGUGAAGCUGGAUUCGCUAGUAAUCGCGCAUCAGCCACGGCGCGGUGAAUACGUUCCCGGGCCUUGUACACACCGCCCGUCAAGCCAUGGGAGCCGGGGGUACAAGAGGUACGUAACCGCAAGGA
rnacentral:rRNA from 1 species